AUCAUGAACAAGCAACUGGCAAAUAAAUUGAGCAAAAAUAUAGCUGAGAAUACCCGAGUCUUUGUUUCUAAACUUGAAUGUAUUAAUAAAUCGUUCUGUGUAUGCAAUGUAAGUAUCAUUUAAUAAUGAAUAGCGUAAAGAUGUAAAACGGCAACGCACUUUUUGUGGCUUAUUAAAAGCAAGUAUUGUAUUGUUUGUCACGUUGUUAAAUUCGCUAAACUUCUGUGUGAAUGUGACAGACUAUCUGGCGUUCCCUCGAAACGUCGAAGUUUUGUCUAUAUAUUUUCAGGUAGGCUAUCACAUUCACACCUCGAUUUACACAGAUGUUUUAUCGAAGAUUCUACCAGCGGUCCAGCACCAAGCGGCAAGCGUUCGAGAUAAAUUCGCUAAUAUUGCAUAAAAACACGAUGUAGUAUAUAUUAUGUCUAUUUCACUUUAUAGAAUGUUUAUCUACAGCUGCACCCAAGACGAAAUACAUUAAUCCAUGUCCGUGUUGUCAGCAAGUAGUUGGAUAGUUUUAUCCACCGGCACAUAAUUUCGUGAACAAAGACGAGACAUACUGAUAGGCCUAUUUUAAAAACGAUACCAAUAUGUUGUCUUUUUAUAAAUUAUAGUUGUACGUUUGCCUUUUUAUGUCAAUUACAGUAAACUUUAUUUCAAUUUAAUAUCGUGUGAUUUCACCACAUGCUUGAAUCAG
rnacentral:lncRNA from 1 species